rnacentral:rRNA from 1 species
AUUGAACGCUGGCGGCAGGCUUAACACAUGCAAGUCGAGCGAGCGGCGGACGGGUGUGUAAUGUCUGGGACACACCUAGAUGGCGGGGGAUAAUUACGGGAAACGGUAGCUAAUACCGCAUACCAUCAGAUGUGCCAAGGUGGGAUUAGCUAGUAGGUGGGGUAAUGGCUCACCUAGGCAACGAUCCCUAGCUGGUCGGCGAGGGUGACCAGCAACACUGGAACUGAGACACGGUCCAGACUCCUACGGGAGGCAGCAGUAGGGAAUAUUGCACAAUGGGCGCAAGCCUGAUGCAGCAAUGCCGCGUGUGUGAAGAAGGCCUUCGGGUUGUAAAGCACUGUCAGCGGGGAGGCGUUACCUGCUGAGAAAGCCCCGGCUAACUCCGUGCCAGCAGCCGCGGUAAUUC